UAUUAUACAUCCAGGGACGCAUUUUCCUUGCACGGUGACUUCGUAUUAUGUUCCAGUGCAGCACUCCGUAUAGGCAGGUUCAGUCUUAAUAACAGCUCUGCACAUUAUUAAAAAUGUAUAUGUAACGUUAUUUUAUUGCACAUUACAUAAAGAACAUUUCAAUAAACCCUUAUAGGAUCGACCAAAGGAAGUGCCUGUACGCAUAGACUGUAUAAAAUAGCCCGUAAGGGGCGCAAUGUGAACUUAAACAAGCGCGCCCUUCAACGACGGAAAAAUAUAUCGUGUUAGGUAAUGCCAGUCUGUAAGUCAUAAUGAUCCAUGGGAGUCUGUGUACAAAAAUAGACCUAUUUAAUGGUAAUGGAUGUUUUUGCUAUGCAGAAAAACACUUUCUAAUUUUAAUUCAAUUCUUUUAUGUUUGAGAACCAAGAGGAACAACAUAUCACAGAUGUAAAAUGUGCACACAAGUGAGUCCUUCCUUCCUAUUUGAAUUUUGAAGAGCAAGGUUCUUGUUGGGUUUAAAAAAGUUAAAAUCAUGCUUAUGUUUUAAAAAACAAUGUACUUUUGGUUAUAAGCAGCUUGCAGGUAAAUCUAACCAAGUAACUACACUAAUCAGCAUUUGUCUGGCUCACACCUUCUCUAGCUUCUAGAGAAUCAGAAGAGGUCAUAUCAGUCAUUUAGCAUACAGGAGAAAGCUCCUUGUCUCCACACAUGGAGAUCUAUUGUAUCUGUUUUGGGGGAGCCGCCCCCUGUUGGGCCAGACUGGGUUAGAACAAAGGAAAUGCAUAUUUCUGUAGAAUCAACACUACCAUGAUAAACAACCUUAGUCUGUGACCUGAAAUUCAGAGGUGUGUCCUUAUCCUGAGAGACAGGAAUAAAUUUGGGAACAGGAGAAAGAUUCGGGACUUCAAUCUGUGACCACGCAAGGGAAGCAAGUUGAAGUCCGCUGUUUACAGCGUAUUGUUUUGUCAUGUCACAGGACUGUUCUUCUGUAACUCCGCAAGGAGAAACAUGAGAUCAGUCCGCUGUCAGCUGCAGUGUUUUAUGUUUUAUGUUUGAUUGUGUUUUGACUGUCGUGUUCAUCGUGUUGUUUUAUUAAACCUUUUGCUUAACUUUCAAUUCGACCCAAGCCUCUCCUUCCUCCUCAGAAAUCUAAGUAACACGUCUUUUAGUGAUUUCCUUACAAUUGGUGACCUUGACGGUGAUUUUUGGAGGACAAAAGGAAAAAGGCGUAUUGAAAGACUGGAUCAUGGUGACUUGUUGAAUUUUCACAUGGGCCCAGACAACUGAGAGGUGAGCAGAAAACCUGUUUUUAUCAAAACACUGCAGAGCUUAUAUAGGAAACGUUUUAGAUGUGAAAAUUCAGCAGCAUCACUCGUAAGUCUAUUAAAAUCUGUAAAAGUAAUUGAAAAAAGUAAUGCCAAAUUGAGAACUACGGUGAAGGCUAUAAGUCAAGGACAAUGUAGGCCUAUGUGAUUGUGUGUGAUUUGUAUGUGUUAGCUUAAAAAGCCUGAAAGAGGGUCCAUGGAAUUAAGAAAAAGAGUUUGAGCCGCGUGCAUUAGAAAAGUUCGUGAAAAAGACGACCAGGGUGCGUGUGUAAAUUUUAAAAUGUAUGAGAUCGUGAAAAAAGUCGACCUGGUUUAGCUUGUAUAAAUUUUGAGUUUAUGAGUUCGUGAAAAAGUCGACCUAGUAAACCUGUAUACAUUUUUUAAUUUAUGAGUUCUUGAAAAAGCAGACCUUGUUACGCCUGUUAAAUUAAAAAAAAAAAGUCCCUAACAGCCGGCCAAGUUAGACUCUGAUAAAUUUUAUUUAAAAAGACCGUGAGGGCGGCGACAGAAAAUUAGUUUCUGUGAAGGCACGGAAGAAAACAUUAAGACUUUUUUAAAGCCAGUGUAAACAACUGUGAAGGAUAGGACUUGGUAAUGCUUAUCUCGCAGCGACGGCGGAGAUAAAGCGCCACUGGAAGACUCUUCAGUUUUUUCUCGUGACCAUAGUAUGGAAAUAGGAAAAUCAAUUAAAUAGGUAUAGUCGAAUUGUGUGAAAACACUUAGGAAAUUGUACAGAGGCCUACUGUAAAUAUUUUUGAAAUAGAAUUGUGGUGUUGGGAUUUGAGUCCGGCGCUGUGUGUGUUUUGUGAAAAAUUGUAAAUAAGAUUGUUUUGUUUAAAUUGAGAGCGUGCAGCUCAGCGGUGGGGUUUGUGGACGUGUUGAGGUUACAGACGCAGUAUGGUUGUGGAUUAAUUGUGGAUAUUCGUUUGUGUUGAAUUGAUAAGCAUUAAGGAUUCCAUCCUCUGGGUGGCAGAACAAACAGCGGCUGGCUGGUUGGAUUUUUGUGGAAAAGGGUGGAGCAGUGAGAAAUGGAUUAAUCUGUAUGAAUGUCUUUAAAGAGUUGGGCGCCGACCCUGAAGGUAUGAAAGACGUGGAACAUUUUAAAGUUUGAAUGGAGUUUCUCAGUGAAUGUAUGAAAAUGUGCUAAGCAGUUGAAAAUGUAUGAAAAUGUGUUUCGAGGGGGCAAAGAUGCCUGCUAAAAUGUUGAAUAUUGGAAAUGAUUGGUUUCAUUUGAUUACAUUUUUUGUUCAUGUUUAGUGUUGUUCUAUAGGGACAGAAAUGGAGAAUACCUUACAGUUUUAGUCUUGUAUGUCUUGUAACUUUAAAUCCAUUUUCCUGUUCCUUGACUAAGUUUCAGUUAUUCUUCCAACAAACAAACUCUUACAAUAUUGUCUCCUGUGUAAAUGAAGGACUGUCUAGGAGACACAGGGGGGUUUUCACACCUCAUUCAAUGCAAUAGAUGCAGACAGAUUUCCUGAGGGAAUCAUUGUAAUCUUCUCUCUGAACUAUUUGAUAUGUUCCGCCAUGCCAGAAUAUUUUGUAAUUGAAAUAAGGGAUUAAUCAUUAUAUUCUAAGUAGGUUACUGGAUUUUGAGUUUGUUUUUCUUCUGCUACAUUUUAAUAAAUUUUACUCUGAUCCUUCUGUUAUCUUUUUCUUUUCUUUUACUUUUUGGUUUGUUGCUUUUGAGUAGGAUUGUGUCCGAGUUAUUGAUGAAGCCCAUUGCAAGUCAGAGCAUUCCAGGGAGUUCUCUGAAAAGGGGAAAAAUAAUUUGAGGUACUUUAAGCAAUUUGACAUUAGCUAAAAUUGGACCAAAAUGAAUUUAAGAUUCUUAGGGGGUUUUUCAAUGGAUAAUUUGGUAGAUAUAUUUGGCAUUUUUGUGUAUCUUGACUCAAAAUUGGUUUGUUUUUCACAAAAAAUGAUAAAUAACAGGCACAUGGAGAUAAAUUAAUUGUAUUUUUAAGCAUUCUGAUCUUACUGUAGCUAAUCUUCUUCCACUAUUUUUUCUUUUGUUGGUUUUUAUUCUUCUAUGUUGCUGAUGAUGUCUCUGAAAAAAUCAUUGGGUUGAUAGAGUCAAGGUAGUAGUUUUUCCAUUGAUAUUUCUUUAUGGUUUGUUGAUUUUUUUAUUAUUUAUAUUCUGUAGUUUGUAAAUAUUUUGUUAAAAAAUAAAUAAAAAAUAGGGGGAGAUCAGAGGAUUUUUAAGGCGUCUCUGUGCUGGCCACACAGAGGUGCUAUGCAAAUCUUCUUCUCAGAGUAUGGAAUGGAGCACAAAGUGACACGUGACUGACAUUUAUUUGCUCAAAAAAUAGCAAUUUGCAAAAUGUUUAAAGUAAUAGUAAAAGAUCAAACAUGCAGCCCAUUCCCCCAUUGAGAAAGAAAAUUGUGGCGUUUUUAUUUUUUGUGUUUUUGUAAUUGAUGAUCUGUGUCAUGGUGCUGUCUGUUUUCCCUCUCCCCUCUCCCUUGUUUUUUGUCUGUCAUGUGCUGAGUGGGUGUGGCGCUCCUGGCUCUCUCUCCCUCCUCGUCAAGACACCUGUGGCUUCCUGUUCACCUGAUUCACAUCCAGCAAUCACCACUCCUGUUAUAAACCCCAGCCUUCCAACAGUCUCUGCCAGAUCGUCCGUUCACCCAAGUGAUUCCCACUACAGCCCUGGAAGCCCAGUCUGCCUAUCUGAGCCUUGUUCUUCUCUCGAUCCUGCUUCUCACCUGUCUGCCCGCUCUCAGCCCCAGGGGAUAUCCAGCACCUGCAUCACUCAUUUUUUUUGUUCAAUAAACCUCAAUACCUGUUCUGA